GACGAACGCUGGCGGCAUGCCUAAUACAUGCAAGUCGAGCGAACAGAUGAAGUGCUUGCACUUCUGACGUUAGCGGCGAACGGGUGAGUAACACGUAAGGAAUCUACCUAUAAGCGGGGGAUAACAUUCGGAAACGGGUGCUAAUACCGCAUAAUAUCUUCUUCCGCAUGGAAGAAGAUUGAAAGACGGCUCUGCUGUCACUUAUAGAUGACCUUGCGGUGCAUUAGUUAGUUGGUGGGGUAACGGCCUACCAAGACGAUGAUGCAUAGCCGACCUGAGAGGUGGAUCGGCAACAUUGGGACUGAGACACGGCCCAAACUCCUACGGGAGGCAGCAGUAGGGAAUCUUCCGCAAUGGGCGAAAGCCUGACGGAGCAAUGCCGCGUGAGUGAAGAAGGCCUUCGGGUCGUAAAACUCUGUUAUAAGAGAAGAACAAAUUGUAGAGUAACCGCUACAGUCUUGACGGUAUCUUAUCAGAAAGCCACGGCUAACUACGUGCCAGCCGCCGCCGUAA
rnacentral:rRNA from 1 species